CAGAUACUUUAUUUCCAUCUUUUCAUUAUCUCACAUUUUUUUCUUUUCCCUUAUUACCUUUCCCCUACUCAGCCCACCUUCCCUACACCUUUAGCUCCUUUCUUCAGCAUGGUUUUUAUUCAGCAGGCUGAGUGAAAAAUAGACCCGCCAGCUGCCAACCCGCACCCUUCAGAGCACUCCUGCAGGCGGAGCGGUGCUGACCACCCCUCCUUACUACCUGGACUUCAAUUACCAGCAGGGCCAGGGCCAGGUGCACCUAGGGGUGGGCCUGAGGGUCCUAGCAUCUGAGGGUCAAAGACCCCUGGGCCUCCCUUGCCGUUGCUGUGCCGGUCCUGUGCUUCCUUCACCCUCCUGGGACGUGUGUGAUGACACGCGGUCUAGACACCAUUUGUUUUCACAUUCACCGCACACCGGUUGGAAAGUUCGCUGCUGUGUGGUCAUUUACAUAGAGAUGCUUUGCUACCGAGUCCUACCCUCUUGGCAACAGUGUGUGCAUCUCCGGCUUCCACAUCCCCUCUUCGUGCUGUCAGUCGUGGUGUCCAAGGUUUCUCAAUUUGCCUUUGCUCCUUUGUGGGUGUGUUUGCUUGGAGAUUAA
rnacentral:lncRNA from 1 species